rnacentral:rRNA from 1 species
CCUACGGGAGGCUGCAGUGGGGAAUAUUGGACAAUGGGCGAAAGCCUGAUCCAGCCAUGCCGCGUGUGUGAAGAAGGCCUUCGGGUUGUAAAGCACUUUCAGUGGGGAAGAAAGCCUUGGGGCUAAUACCCUCGAGGAAGGACAUCACCCACAGAAGAAGCACCGGCUAACUCCGUGCACAGCAGCCGCGGUAAUACGGAGGGUGCGAGCGUUAAUCGGAAUUACUGGGCGUAAAGCGCGCGUAGGCGGUCUGAUAAGCCGGUUGUGAAAGCCCCGGGCUCAACCUGGGAACGGCAUCCGGAACUGUCAGGCUAGAGUGCAGGAGAGGAAGGUAGAAUUCCCGGUGUAGCAGUGAAAUGCGUAGAGAUCGGGAGGAAUACCAGUGGCGAAGGCGGCCUUCUGGACUGACACUGACGCUGAGGUGCGAAAGCGUGGGUAGCAAACAGGAUUAGAUACCCCAGUAGUC